rnacentral:lncRNA from 1 species
AGCUCUUUCCCGGAGCUAGGUGAGUCCUCUGAUCACUCUAUCCCUCUCAUUUCACAUUCCGAUCUAUCCGGAUGAGUGAUCAAAACAAAAGAGAAAUAAAGAAAUGAAAAGAAAAAGGAAGAAGAAGAAGAAGAAGAGGAAAGGAAGGGAGAAGAGCUUACCGGAUGUCCUCGGUCGCGAAUCCGGCACGAUGAGCUCGGCUGCAGCCGUCGACGGCUGGAGGCUCUUACUCCCCUCUUCCGAUCGCGGGGAGAUCGUCUACAACUCUCCUUUGGCUGCGGUGAGUUCGGUCGCAGCCAUAGCCACAGUGGUGGGUUUCUCCCCCACUGUAGUGAGAACGAAGGAGCCGCCGGCUCCGACUGCAGGCUCCGCUGGCCUUCGGCCGGAGCUGUGGUGGGCCGGAGGCCCCUUCUUCUCAAGGGGGUUGGUUCCGACCCCCAAAGAACAGAGAGGGGGGCCGGUCGCUGCGGGCGCGACCACGGGUUCGGCCGUGGGCGCCGCUGGUCGCGACAGACCUCUUCCGUGAGGGGGAGCCGCCCUCCUCCCUUCUGAAGUGAAGAAGGAUGAAGAAGAAAGGGGGAAUCGACUGCUCCAGACUGAGCCGCGAGUGAUGUUGGCCGGCCGCUAGCACCCACGACCUCGGACCGUCUCCCUCCCGAGCGCCCCUUCCGAGCUCGCUUCCUAGUUUCAUGGGAGAAGAGGAGAAGAGGAGGAGAUCGGAAAGGGAGGAAGAAAGAAGGAGAAGAAAAGAAGAAAAGAAAGAAGAGGGAGGAAGCUUCGGGAAGGGAGAAGAGAAGAAAAAGAAAGAAAAGGGAAAAGAAAAGAAAAAAAAAGAAAAAAAUAAAUAAAAAAAAUGGUUGUGGGCCGAAAGGGGCCUGAUUCCGAAAUGGGCCUGAUUCCGGAGUGGGCUUCAAAUAAACUUGGCUUUAGAAGCCUGAAGUCGGGUUGGGCCCUGAUUCAAGCCUAGAGUUCUUAAAACUAAAACUAACUGGGCUUGAAGAGCUCAAAUUUUAUUAUAGGGACUAAAUCGAAUAUAGUUUGAGAC